GACAGAGGGGGCAAGCGUUGCUCGGAAUUACUGGGCGUAAAGGGCGCGUAGGCGGGAUGGCAAGUCGGUCGUGAAAUCCCUCGGCUCAACUGAGGAUCGUCGAUCGAUACUGCUGUUCUUGAGGAUUGCAGAGGAGACUGGAAUUCCCGGUGUAGCGGUGAAAUGCGCAGAUAUCGGGAAGAACACCUAUGGCGAAGGCAGCUCUCUGGGGACGGUACUGACGCUGAGACGCGAAAGCGUGGGGAGCGAACAGG
rnacentral:rRNA from 1 species